AGGCUGCAUCAACACCUGAAUACAAUAAACUUGCAACUAAAAUGUGGAUAUGAAGAAACUUGUUAUUUCUUUGAAACAGCUAAAGUUUAUCACGGAAUCUCAGACAUGGCGCAGGUCUCAUGUAUCUUAUAACAACACUUGGAGCAUUCAUAGCCGAUGUUCAUUCCUUUUCUCAUACCUGAUGAAUUGACUUCAAUCAGUCGCAGUACCUGCAAGUGUACUCUCUCGACACCAGUGAGGGGGCAGUCAUGGCAUUUGAAACCAACACUACCCCAAACUUGACCCUAGAAAACGACGAUCAGAAAGGGAAUGUAGUUGAUGUGAAGCCACUGCUCGCAGUCGUUGCAGCUGUAGUUCCAGCACCUUUUAUCGAUAUCCUCUUCACAAACCUCACAAAUUUGUUGGGUAUCAUCAUCAUCAUCAUCGGUGGUUAACUUAGUUGAGGUGGUUAGGUUGAGAGGGUGUGCAUCAAAUUUGUGGCUAAUGGUAGUGGGAAGCAAAGCGCAGCGAGCAUGUAGUUUUAGAUGACGACAAUUGCUGCACUUAUAGAACAUUCUAUUUGCAAAGUCGUUGCAGCAGCUACACGUGCCUGAGUAACGCGACAUGUAAAGAAUGUGCGUCUUCCCGUGAGAGGCGUGGGUGAUUGAGGCAGGCAUUAGUGCGCACAAAACAUCCAUGCUGACGUCUUUGCAAGUUUUGCAGCAGUAGGCGAAUCCAGAGCACAGCAUCCAGCAACCAUGGCAGAAGAAGCCUUCAUCAUAAUUUUUUCUGGGUGCUUUUGUGAAGAGGGAAAGGGUGUGGUCUGGAUGAAAGGGGUGCUUGAUUUUGGGUGGAAGAUUGAAACAAGAGUCGUGGAGAAGAAAAUCCGGACAUUGGGAACAGCUGUAGAAUGGAGGGGAAAUGAACUGAACACACGCAUUGCAUACACGGGAUGAAGAAUGCCCUGUGCCAUCAUCGUCGUCUUCAUCAUCAGCUUCACCACUAUCCUCUUCAUCAUGAAAGAUCGACGGAUGUUUAUGUAAUCUUUGAUCAUAUCCGUAUUUGGGAUUACCAACCUCCUCCUCCUCAUAGUCAUAAUCACCAUAUUCUUCUUUAUGAUGACGAAAGAUUACUGGAAGUUGAUGUCCAUCUACGGAAUCAGCAUCCUCAUAUUCUCCAGCAGCAUCAGUAUUCUCCAACAUAUAGCGCACGAUGCUUGUGCGUUCAUCUGGCAUCGGAAGAUGGAGCAGGUUGGCCAGCUUUGCAUCUCGAAUUAACACUGCAAAUUAAAACAUCAGUUUGAUUAAUAUAAUGAAUUAAUCACACACAUAUACAUAGGUUAUUUUUCCAACCUGACUCAAAACAGCGAGGAUCCGAUGUUGCACACCUAAUAUGAGCAAAAUAGCUACACUUGAAACAGAAAUAAGCACCCACGCUAUACAACAAGAUCCUUUCUCCACAGAAUGCACAUUUGCAAUCUCGAUCAUGAAAAGCAUGCAUAAUAUUAUAGGUGAGAAAAAGAGAAUGCUGAUGCUGCGGCCGUUGCACUAGUCGGAUAGCAUUAGGUGAGGAAGCGCAAUCUUUAUGAAUCCAGAAACCACAAGGAGUGCACAGAUACGACGGAGACAAUAGGCCUUCAUGUUGCGUUCCACACGCGCUGCAUCUGAAGGCAGCCGGGCCCCUUAUAACCGCUGUCAACCUGUGCUCGUGGCUCCUGUGCAAGAUUUUGAUCUGCAAACUGCACAACACGUCGAGUUGAACAUCACAAGAAAAAUCAAGACAUUGAUAGAACAUACUCCCGCAUUUUUCACUACAUCCAUCGCAAAAUUCUGUUGAUGGUGAAUCCCAGUUUUCCUUGAGCACGAGGGGCCCGCCGGGGUGAAACGCAUUAUCCAUCAAAAUCUUGGGGAGAUUAGCGCAUUGAUCGUGCAGGAGUGCUUGACCGUGUUUGGUGUUGAUUCUGUUGAAGGGCGUGGAGAAGAUUGGGAGCGUACAAGCACUGCACAUCCAAGAAUUUCCAUCGUCUGGAUCAACGCCGUUUUCUUCACUCCUUAUUUUAGUGUGAGACGACAACACGAAUUUAAAACUUCGUAUCAUUUUGUCUCUUCUACACAAAGAGAGAGAGAAAUAACCAAUACUUCAAUUUGUUGUUUAUGAUUUCUAUAACUUUGAUACGGUGAUACUACCAAAACCACAACGCAAGAUAAGAAUAAUAAAGUAAUUCACUUCUUAGUUUGUCAUUUUCGUACAUCUACAAAGGCAAUACCAAAACCCCAACACAAUAUAAGAAUAAAAUAGCAUAAUUCCCCAAGCACUAAUAAUGAGGAAUAUACAAGGGUACUACCAAAACCCCAGCGCAAGAUAAGAAUAUAUAAAGUAGCAUAUAUAAUUCCCCAAGCACUUAUAAUAAUGAGGAAUACAAAGGUACUACCAAAACCCCAGCGCAAGAUAAGAAUAAAGUAGCAUAUAUAAUUCCCCAAACACGAAUAAUUUUUAACUUCCUUACUUAUAUCUAUACUUAUAAGAGCAUUGUUUUACAAAAUUUGAUUUGCCUAUUAUAUCCCUCCUAUAUUCUUAAUUUAAGGUUAAUAUAUAUAAUAAAUCUAAAAGUAUAUUAUAGUUUAUGUUUAUAUUUUAAUAAUUAUUUAAGUAGUACGUAGUAUCCAUUAAAACUCUCCAUCCACAUAAAUUAAUAUUUUUUAUUCUAUAAAUUUAAUAAUUUAGAAUUACAAUAUAAAUGAUUAUUUAAUAAUUUUAUUAUAAGUUUAAUUUUAUUAUUAUUUAAUUUUGGGGUGUUUUAAUUUAACGAUGAAAAAUUAGGUUAUGCUUAGUUAAUUAAAAUUAUUUUUUAAUAUUGAAUUUAGAUAGUUUUUUUUCAUUUUUAUGAGUUUUACAAUAUUAUAAUUUUUGAAAAUUAAAAUUGAUUUUAAUAAUAUAUUUAAAUGAUUAAUGUUACUAUAAAUGAAAUAUAAAUUUAUAUUCAAAAAAAAUUACUAUUUAGUAAAAUAAUUUCAAAUAAUUUCUUUUUACGCUGCGAUUUGCGAAUGCACGUUUCUCUCUAGUUUUAUUUAAAUAAAAUAUUUUACUUAUCAUUUUCUGAACUACACGCAAUAUAUAUACAUCAACCAUUGAUUUUUCUAAAAAAAUUCAUUUCGUAUCGAUUUUAAAACAUGCAUGUACAAAAUUAUAUAAUUAUUUUUUUCUCAUAUUUUAAACAGAAUUUGGAUAUGUAAGAAGUAAACAGAACCUGCUUCAUAUUGAUUCACAUAUAUAAAAGAAAACAUAAUUUGAACGUUUCAUAUAUAAAAGACAAGUGUAUACACAUUAUUCUGAUACAUCAUUGUCUGUAAAGAGGCUGCAUAAACACCUGAAUACAAUAAACUUGCAACUAAAAUGUGGAUAUGAAGAAACUCUAUUUCAUUGAAACAGCUAAAGUUUAUCACGGAAUCUCAGACAUGGCGCAGGUCUCAUGUAUCUUAUAACAACACUUGGAGCAUUCAUACGCACGUGUUCAUACAUUUCUUCAUCAUACCUGAUGAAUUGACUUCAAUCAGUCGCAGUACCUGCAAGUGUACUCUCUCGACACCAGUGAGGGGGCAGUCAUGGCAUUUGAAACCAACACUACCCCAAACUUGACCCUAGAAAACGACGAUCCAGAAAGGGAAUGCAGUUGAUGUGAAGCCACUGCUCGCAGUCGUUGCAGCUGUAGUUCCAGCACCUUUUAUCGAUAUCCUCUUCACAAACCUCACAAAUUUGUUGGGUAUCAUCAUCAUCAUCAUCAUCGGUGGUUAGUUUGAGAGGGUGUGCAUCAAAUUGUGGUAAUGGUAGUGGGAAGCAAAGCGCAGCGAGCAUGUAGUUUUAGAUGCGACAAUUGCUGCACUCAUAGACACUCCCUGAAUGAGGUUGCAGCAGCUACACGUGCCUGAAGAUUGUAACGCGACAUGUAAAGAAUGUGCGUCUUCCCGUGAGAGGCGUGGGUGAUUGAGGUAGGCAUUAGUGCGCACAAAACAUCCAUGCUGAAGUCUGUGCAAGUCAUGCAGCAGUAGGCAAAUCCAGAGCACACACUCCAGCAACCAUCGCAGAUGAAGCCUACAUCACGAUGUUUGAUGGGUGCUUUUGUGAAGAGNACGAAUAAUUUUUAACUUCCUUACUUAUAUCUAUACUUAUAAGAGCAUUGUUUUACAAAAUUUGAUUUGCCUAUUAUAUCCCUCCUAUAUUCUUAAUUUAAGGUUAAUAUAUAUAAUAAAUCUAAAAGUAUAUUAUAGUUUAUGUUUAUAUUUUAAUAAUUAUUUAAGUAGUACGUAGUAUCCAUUAAAACUCUCCAUCCACAUAAAUUAAUAUUUUUUAUUCUAUAAAUUUAAUAAUUUAGAAUUACAAUAUAAAGGAUGUAUUUAAUAAUUUUACUAGAAGUUUAAUUUUUCUAGAAUCCUUGGAAUUAAAAAUAAUUAUGUAAAGAUGAAACGUAGAAAAUAAACAUGAAUUUUAUAUCAAUCUUCUUCUCUUUUUGGUCGUGUUUUAAUUUAACGAUGAAAAAAUUAGGUUAUGCUUAGUUAAUUAAAAUUAUUUUUUAAUAUUGAAUUUAGAUUAUGUUUUAAUAAGUUUUUUUCAUUUUUAUGAGUUUUACAAUAUUAUAAUUUUUGAAAAUUAAAAUUGAUUUUAAUAAUAUAUUUAAAUGAUUAAUGUUACUAUAAAUGAAAUAUAAAUUUAUAGUAUUCAAAAAUAAAUUAUUUAGUAAAAUAAUUUCAAAUAAUUUCUUUUUACGCUGCGAUUCUGCGAAUGCACGUUGUCUCUCUAGUUUUAUUUAAAUAAAAUAUUUUACUUAUCAUUUUCUGAACUACACGCAAUAUAUAUACAUCAACCAUUGAUUUUUCUAAAAAAAUUCAUUUCGUCAUCGAUUUUAAAACAUGCAUGUACAAAAUUAUAUACAUUAUUUUUUUCUCAUAUUUUAAACAGAAUUUGGAUAUGUAAGAAGUAAACAGAACCUGCUUCAUAUUAUGAUUCACAUAUAUAAAAGAAAACAUAAUUUGAACGUUUCAUAUAUAAAAGACAAGUGUAUACACAUUAUUCUGAUACAUCAUUGUCUGUAAUAAGAGGCUGCAUAAACACCUGAAUACAAUAAACUUGCAACUAAAAUGUGGAUAUGAAGAAACUCUAUUUCUUGAAACAGCUAAAGUUUAUCACGGAAUCUCAGACAUGGCGCAGGUCUCAUGUAUCUUAUAACAACACUUGGAGCAUUCAUACGCACGAUGUUCAUUAGCAUCUUCUUCAUCAUACCUGAUGAAUAUGUACUUGCAAUCAUCGCAGUAGUAGCCUGCAAGUGUACUCUCUCUGACACCAGUGAGGGGGCAGUCAUGGCAUUUGAAACCAACACUACCACCAAACUUGACCCUAGAAAUAGCAUCCAGAAAGGGAAUGCAGUUGAUGUGAAGCCACUGCUCGCAGUCGUUGCAGCUGUAGUUCCAGCACCUUUUAUCGAUAUCCUCUUCACAAACCUCACAAAUUUGUUGGGUAUCAUCAUUAUCAUCAUCGGUGGUUAGGUUGAGAGGGUGUGCAUCAAAUUUGUGGCUAAUGGUAGUGGGAAGCAAAGCGCAGCGAGCAUGUAGUUUUAGAUGGCGACAAUUGCUGCACUNNN
rnacentral:lncRNA from 1 species